AAAAAUGUGUGUUUACAUUUCGAACGCAUUCGGCAACAUUUUGCCUGUUGAGAAAAGACCCAGAUGAGCAUCAAGUAGAUUUGAGUAUUGAUUGAACGUGGGGAGGAGAAGAUCAUGCAUACAUCAGCAUAGAUGAUGUAUUGAUACAGACUUCAAAUGCAAGCAGAGCAGAGGCACUCCCUCCAUACUCCAUACUAAACGGCUCAUCGUCUGGCUGCAGUCCUUCACAUCUGACACGGCCUGGCUUAGAUGAACAUGCUGUUCUGAUGUCCGGCCACCGGAUGGCAGUAGCAGCACGCUUUCCUCGCUCCCCUAAGCUCCUUCAGGCGUUUGGGGGGUUUCACGACUGAACACAGUGUACUCUCUCUCGUCCUCUCUCUCUCUCGUCCUCUCUCUCUCUCUCUCUCGUCCUCUCUCUCUCGUCCUGUCUAGUCCUUCUCCUGCAUAUUUCUCUCUUUCUUUCUUUCUUUCUUUCUUUCUUUCUUUCUUUCUCCUGCAGAACCACAUCCAGGAGCCAAUACGAGAGAGAGACAGAGAGAGAGAGAGAGAGAGAAACUAAACACUGUAAUGGCCAAGUAAUGCAUUGUAAACCAAAACAAAUGGCUAGGAGGUAAAUUGCAGCACACUUUGAUGUGCUAACAAAAGGGAAAUUAUUCACAUGCACACCUGUUAGGGUUCACUGCUCCGCGGGCCACCACAGAGAGCCCCCCCAAACCCCCCCCCCCCCCCUCGCCUUGGCACGGGCACUGGCGGCCAAGGCCACGCAACCAGACUCACAGCGGCUCUCUCCUCAUCUGUUCCGCCUGCGUCCUCAUCAACACAAAACAGGUGGCACCAGCAAGCCAGCUGUUGUGUAAAAUGAUUGUCAAGACCUGACUUGCAACUGAAAAACAAACAUUAUCGAUAGUCUGUGCACCCGAAGGGAGACUGAUGAGGAUUGGCAGUACAUUACAGAUGGUUGAAUCAACAUGAGCACAACCUUGCGAGAAGUGGCCACGGUGGGAGAAGAUGCCACCCUGGACGCAGCCUGACAGCAGAACACUCCAGGCACACAAAACAAGAUGGCUCUUCAGAGACCGCAUGGAGCCUCCCGUCUGAUUAAAACGCACUGUAGUAACUAACGCUCAUUACAGCCACUGACCUAGAUGUCUGGGAAAGGCAAACAAUCAGGUGUUGACUUCUUUAAAAAAACAAAAACAAAGAAAGACAGAAUGCAAGUGGGGAGCGAGGAAAGGCAGCUUCAGGUCCUCAUGGUUGGCACGGUAACUGCUAUU